rnacentral:misc_RNA from 1 species
GAUGAAGAACGUAGCGAAAUGCGAUAAGUAAUGUGAAUUGCAGAAUCCUGUGAAUCAUCGAAUCUUUGAACGCACAUUGCGCCCGCCAGCAUUCUGGCGGGCAUGCCUGUUCGAGCGUCAUUUCAACCCUCGACCUCCCUUUGGGGAAGUCGGCGUUGGGGACCGGCAGCACACCGCCGGCCCUGAAAUGGAGUGGCGGCCCGUCCGCGGCGACCUCUGCGUAGUAAACCAACUCGCACCGGAACCCCGACGUGGCCACGCCGUAAAACACCCAACUUCUGAACGUUGACCUCGAAUCAGGUAGGACUACCCGCUGAACUUAAGCAUAUCAAUAAGCGGAGGA